rnacentral:tRNA from 1 species
UAGGCUAAUGUCCGUUGGUUUGGACGACUAGCUGUUAACUAGUUUUUUGUGGGAUCAAGGCCUACUAGUCUAG